rnacentral:rRNA from 1 species
AUCAACUUUCGAUGGUAGGAUAGAGGCCUACCAUGGUGGUAACGGGUAACGGGGUGUUAGGGCACGACACCGGAGAGGGAGCCUGAGAAACGGCUACCACAUCCAAGGAUGGCAGCAGGCGCGCAAAUUACCCAAUCCCGACACGGGGAGGUAGUGACAAUAAAUAACAAUACAGGGUUCUUUUGGAUCUUGUAGUUGGAAUGAGUACAAUUUAAAUCUCUUAACGAGGAACAAUUGGAGGGCAAGUCUGGUGCCAGCAGCCGCGGUAAUUCCAGCUCCAAUAGCGUAUAUUAAAGUUGUUGCAGUUAAAAAGCUCGUAGUUGAAUUUCGGGAUCAAUAUGUUGGUCGUGCCUUGGUACGUACUAGUUUAUUGGUUUCUCCCUUCUGACGAACCAUGAUGUCAUUAAUUUGGUGUCAUGUGGAAUCAGAACUGUUACUUUGAAAAAAUUAGAGUGUUUAAAGCAGGCUCACGCUUGAAUACAUUAGCAUGGAAUAAUGAAAUAGGACGUUUGAUUCUAUUUUGUUGGUUUCUAGGAUUGACGUAAUGAUUAAUAGGGAUAGUUGGGGGCAUUAGUAUUCAAUUGUCAGAGGUGAAAUUCUUGGAUUUAUUGAAGACUAACUACUGCGAAAGCAUUUGCCAAGGAUGUUUUCAUUAAUCAAGAACGAAAGUUAGGGGAUCGAAGACGAUCAGAUACCGUCGUAGUCUUGACCAUAAACUAUGCCGACUAGGGGUCGGAUGAUGUUAAAUUAAUGACUCAUUCGGCACCUUACGGGAAACCAAAGUGUUUGGGUUC